ACGCUCGACACCUACGGGAGGCAGCAGUGGGGAAUAUUGGGCAAUGGAGGCAACUCUGACCCAGCAACGCCGCGUGAAUGAUGAAGGUCUUCGGAUUGUAAAGUUCUGUGACGGGGGACGAACACAAUGACGGUACCCCGAUAGCAAGCCACGGCUAACUACGUGCAAGCAGCCGCGGUAAUCUGAGCGGGCUGGCAAGGC
rnacentral:rRNA from 1 species